GGCGGCGUACCCAAGUGGUAAGGGAGAGGUCUGCAAAACCUCGAUGCAGCGGUUCAAAUCCGCUCGCCGCCUCCA
rnacentral:tRNA from 2 species